rnacentral:rRNA from 1 species
GUUAAGCGACUAAGCGUACACGGUGGAUGCCCUGGCAGUCAGAGGCGAUGAAGGACGUGCUAAUCUGCGAUAAGCGUCGGUGAGGUGAUAUGAACCGUUAUAACCGGCGAUUUCCGAAUGGGGAAACCCAGUGUGUUUCGACACACUAUCAUUAACUGAAUCCAUAGGUUAAUGAGGCGAACCGGGGGAACUGAAACAUCUAAGUACCCCGAGGAAAAGAAAUCAACCGAGAUUCCCCCAGUAGCGGCGAGCGAACGGGGAGGAGCCCAGAGCCUGAAUCAGUGUGUGUGUUAGUGGAAGCGUCUGGAAAGGCGCGCGAUACAGGGUGACAGCCCCGUACACAAAAAUGCACAUACUGUGAGCUCGAUGAGUAGGGCGGGACACGUGGUAUCCUGUCUGAAUAUGGGGGGACCAUCCUCCAAGGCUAAAUACUCCUGACUGACCGAUAGUGAACCAGUACCGUGAGGGAAAGGCGAAAAGAACCCCGGCGAGGGGAGUGAAAAAGAACCUGAAACCGUGUACGUACAAGCAGUGGGAGCCUCUUAAUGGGGUGACUGCGUACCUUUUGUAUAAUGGGUCAGCGACUUAUAUUCUGUAGCAAGGUUAACCGAAUAGGGGAGCCGAAGGGAAACCGAGUCUUAACUGGGCGUUAAGUUGCAGGGUAUAGACCCGAAACCCGGUGAUCUAGCCAUGGGCAGGUUGAAGGUUGGGUAACACUAACUGGAGGACCGAACCGACUAAUGUUGAAAAAUUAGCGGAUGACUUGUGGCUGGGGGUGAAAGGCCAAUCAAACCGGGAGAUAGCUGGUUCUCCCCGAAAGCUAUUUAGGUAGCGCCUCGUGAAUUCAUCUCCGGGGGUAGAGCACUGUUUCGGCAAGGGGGUCAUCCCGACUUACCAACCCGAUGCAAACUGCGAAUACCGGAGAAUGUUAUCACGGGAGACACACGGCGGGUGCUAACGUCCGUCGUGAAGAGGGAAACAACCCAGACCGCCAGCUAAGGUCCCAAAGUCAUGGUUAAGUGGGAAACGAUGUGGGAAGGCCCAGACAGCCAGGAUGUUGGCUUAGAAGCAGCCAUCAUUUAAAGAAAGCGUAAUAGCUCACUGGUCGAGUCGGCCUGCGCGGAAGAUGUAACGGGGCUAAACCAUGCACCGAAGCUGCGGCAGCGACGCUUAUGCGUUGUUGGGUAGGGGAGCG